AUAGACAAAGGAUACGGGAGAAUACCGUGAUCACACAGGUGGUCUUCCCAGGGUGAGGCUUACCCGUUUCACUCUGGAGGUGCUGACCCCUGCGAUUUCCCCAAAUGGGGGAAACUCGACUGCGGAAUUUGUGGUAGUGGGGACUGCGUGCGCGCUUUUGCCUG